rnacentral:rRNA from 1 species
UACGUAGGGGGCUAGCGUUGUCCGGAUUUAUUGGGCGUAAAGAGCGUGUAGGCGGCCAUGUAGGUCCGGUGUGAAAACUCGAGGCUUAACCUCGAGAUGUCAUCGGAAACCAUUUGGCUAGAGUCCGGAAGAGGAGAGUGGAAUUCCUGGUGUAGCGGUGAAAUGCGCAGAUAUCAGGAAGAACACCAAUGGCGAAAGCAGCUCGCUGGGACGGUACUGACGCUGAGACGCGAAAGCGUGGGGAGCGAACAGG